rnacentral:rRNA from 1 species
UACGGAGGGUGCAAGCGUUAUCCGGAUUUACUGGGUUUAAAGGGUGCGUAGGUGGGUCUGUAAGUCAGUGGUGAAAUCUCCGAGCUUAACUCGGAAACUGCCAUUGAUACUAUAGGUCUUGAAUUAUCUGGAGGUAAGCGGAAUAUGUCAUGUAGCGGUGAAAUGCUUAGAUAUGACAUAGAACACCAAUUGCGAAGGCAGCUUACUACGGAUCGACUGACACUGAGGCACGAAAGCGUGGGGAUCAAACAGG